rfam:Hordeum vulgare subsp. vulgare, WGS project CAJW01000000 data, contig: morex_contig_2564065
AUGAUACUCCCUCCGCCCGUAAUUAUUUGUCACACAAAUGAAUACAAAUGGAUGUAUCUAGAAUUGAAAUACAUCUAGAUACAUCCAUUUUUAUGAGAAAUAUUUCCGGACGGGGGGAUUAUGUA